rnacentral:rRNA from 1 species
UACGUAGGGUGCAAGCGUUGUCCGGAAUUAUUGGGCGUACAGAGCUCGUAGGCGGUCUGUCGCGUCGGCUGUGAAAUCCCGAGGCUCAACCUCGGGUCUGCAGUCGAUACGGGCAAACUAGAGUAUUGCAGGGGAGACUGGAAUUCCUGGUGUAGCGGUGAAAUGCGCAGAUAUCAGGAAGAACACCCGUGGCUAAGGCGGCUCUCUAGUACGGUACUGACGCUGAGACGCGAAAGCGUGGGGAGCGAACAGG